UACAGAGGGUGCAAGCGUUGUUCGGAAUUAUUGGGCGUAAAGCGCGUGUAGGCGGCUUGUUAUGUCGGGUGUGAAAGCCCUCAGCUUAACUGAGGAAGUGCGCCCGAAAACUGGCGAGCUUGAGUACCGGAGAGGGUGGCGGAAUUCCCCAAGUAGAGGUGAAAUUCGUAGAUAUGGGGAGGAACACCGGUGGCGAAGGCGGCCACCUGGGACG
rnacentral:rRNA from 1 species